rnacentral:rRNA from 1 species
UGCCAGCCGCCGCGGUAAUACGGAGGGUGCGAGCGUUAAUCGGAAUCACUGGGCGUAAAGCGUACGUAGGUGGCAAAGUCAGUCAGGCGUGAAAGCCCUCGGCUCAACCGAGGAAUUGCGUUUGAUACUACUUUGCUAGAGUCUCGGAGAGGUUGGCGGAAUUCCAGGUGUAGGAGUGAAAUCCGUAGAUAUCUGGAGGAACACCAGUGGCGAAGGCGACUCACUGGGUCUCUUCUGACGCUGAGGCACGAAAGCAUGGGGAGCAAACAGGAUUAGAUA